rnacentral:snRNA from 7 species
UAUAUAAAAGCAAUAGUAAUGAAAAAUUGCAAUGAUACUGAAAAGGUUAGCAUGGCUCCUGCUCAAAGAUUGCAAAUUCAAGGGUGGAGAGGAGACAAUGUCUU